GUUUGAUCCUGGCUCAAGAUGAACUCUAGCGGCAGGCUUAACACAUGCAAGUCGAGGGGCAGCAUGUCCAGCAAUGGAUGAUGGCGACCGGCGGAAGGGUGCGUAACGCGUGAGCAACAUGCCCUAUACAGGGAGAUACACCAGGGAAACUUGGUCUAAUAUCCCAUAUCAUUCAUUGAAGGCAUCUUUAAUGAAUUAAAGCUUCGGUGGUAUAGGAUUGGCUCGCGUGACAUUAGCCAGAUGGUGAGGUAACGGCUCACCAUAGCAAUGAUGUCUAGGGGUUUUGAGAGGAAGGCCCCCCACACUGGGACUGAGACACGGCCCAGACUCCUACGGGAGGCAGCAGUGAGGAAUAUUGGACAAUGGAUGGAAAUCUGAUCCAGCCAUGCCGCGUGCAGGAAGACGGCCUUAUGGGUUGUAAACUGCUUUUAUACGGGAGCAAUAAGGGUUACGAGUAAUCCGAUGAGAGUACUGUAUGAAUAAGGAUCGGCUAACUCCGUGCCAGCAGCCGCGGUAAUACGUAGGUGGCAAGCGUUAUCCGGAAUUACUGGGUGUAAAGGGCGCGCAGGCGGCCCUGCAAGUCGGAUGUGAAAGAUCAAGGCUCAACCUUGACAGGCCAUUCGAAACUGUGGGACUUGAGUGUCAGAGGGGAAAGUGGAAUUCCUAGUGGAGCGGUAAAAUGCGCAGAUAUUAGGAGGAACACCGGUGGCGAAGGCGACUUUCUGGCUGACAACUGACGCUGAGGCGCGAAAGCGUGGGGAGCAAACAGAAGUAGAUCCCCUGGUAGUCCACCCCGUAAACGAUGAUUACUAGGUGUAGGGGGUAUCGACUCCCUCUGUGCCACAGUUAACGCAUUAAGUAAUCCACCUGGGGAGUACGGCCGCAAGGUUAAAACUCAAAGGAAUUGACGGGGGCCCGCACAAGCAGUGGAGUAUGUGGAUUAAUUCGAGGCAACGCGAAGAACCUUACCAGGGCUUGACAUCUCCUGCAGACACAAGAGAUUGUGUUGUCCCUUCGGGGCAGGAAGACAGGUGGUGCAUGGUUGUCGUCAGCUCGUGUCGUGAGAUGUUCGGUUAAGUCCGGCAACGAGCGCAACCCCUGUGGCCAGUUGCCAUCAUUCAGUUGGGCACUCUGGCAAGACCGCCGUUAACAAAACGGAGGAAGGUGGGGAUGACGUCAAAUCAUCAUGCCCCUUAUGUCCUGGGCUUCACACGUACUACAAUGGUAACAACAGAGGGCUGCCACACCGCGAGGUGGAGCGAAUCCCAAAAUAUUAUCUCAGUUCGGAUUGCAGGCUGAAACUCGCCUGCAUGAAGCAGGAAUUGCUAGUAAUGGCAG
rnacentral:rRNA from 1 species